GUCUACGACCAUACCAACCUGAACACACGAGAUCUCAUCUGAUCUCGGAAGCCAAGCAGGAUCGGGCCUGUUUAGUACUUGGAUGGGAGACCGCCUGGGAAUACCGGGUGCUGUAGGCU
ensembl:rRNA 5S_rRNA 5S ribosomal RNA